rnacentral:lncRNA from 1 species
CUGUGUUUACUGAGUGUGUGCAUGGACUGCCUUCACAGUCAAGAUUAUCAACUGUGUUGGAUGGCGAGAAGACCCACAGAGAAAAAACAUGGCAGGGGACAUGGAGAGGUGCACAGCAUUAAAUUGGUGGUCUAAGGAGGAGAGAUUCCAGGUAGUCCUGAAAAUCCUGCCCUGACUUCCCUCAACGGCAGACUCUCCCUGGAACGUGAAACAAACCAUCUUCAGGCACCUUUCCUCCCAGGCUGGACCCCUGGAAGCAAGAAAGCCAGCAAAGCCCUCCCAGUCCCGGCUUUCCUCAACAGUCGCGCUGGCCCGGGAAUUACACGGCUCCCAUCGUGUGCCAAAGAAGCCAGUUCUUUUCAAGGAGCAUUUCUGUGGUGUUUUUUCCCUGCUUUCUGCAUCUGUGCUGACAUUCUGUGAUUCUUAGAGAACCGAUUCUGAAGAGCAAAACCAGGAGCCAAGAAUCUUCAAGCCAGAAAGACUGCUUUGAGAACAAACAGCUAGGGCCUCAGCCUACCGAGUUCACAGCGUGGGUGGGCAGACCCUGCUGGCCAACCCCAGCUCGGUGGGAAGCGGCUUCCCCUGGAAGGCGUGGAGGACACUGAGGGCAGAGGCAGGGACCCACAGACUACUCAGGCAACGGACUUCUUGGACAUGACACCAAAAGCAGGGGCAGUGUGAGAAAAUACAGCCAGGACAUCGUCAAAAUACUCCGUGUUGCCUAGUGUCUUGGGACAGGAGCAAGGGUGACGACGACCCAUCCACGGGACCACGGAACAUGCUCACGGUUGUGGAUGCUUUUCUGUCGUGUACAGCAAACCCGGUAUCGUCAAGACUGGAUUCAAAACUGGGCAACUGCUGGCUAGAGAAGGCACAGCACCUAACUCGCUGUUCUUCCAGAGAAUCUGAA